AGUGGGAUGGCUGAGAAUUAUUAGGUGAUAGGUUGUAAAUCUAUUUAGGGGUGUUUAUAUCACUCUUCCACUA
rnacentral:tRNA from 1 species